UACGGGGGGGGCAAGCGUUGUUCGGAAUUACUGGGCGUAAAGGGCUCGUAGGCGGCCAACUAAGUCGGAUGUGAAAUCCCCAGGCUCAACUUGGGAACUGCAUCCGAUACUGGAUGGCUUGAAUUCGGGAGAGGGAUGCAGAAUUCCAGGUGUAGCGGUGAAAUGCGUAGAUAUCUGGAGGAAUACCGGUGGCGAAGGCGGCAUCCUGGACCGACAUUGACGCUGAGGAGCGAAAGCUAGGGGAGCAAAGCGGGG
rnacentral:rRNA from 1 species